rnacentral:misc_RNA from 1 species
CCGAGUUUACAACUCCCAAACCCAAUGUGAACGUUACCAAACUGUUGCCUCGGCGGGUCACGCCCGGGUGCGUAAAAGCCCCGGAAUCAGGCGCCCGCCGGAGGAACCACCAAACUCUUUCUGUAGUCCCCUCGCGGACGUAUUCUUACAGCUCUGAGCAAAAAUUCAAAAUGAAUCA